GUGAGGAAUAUUGCGCAAUGGAGGCAACUCUGACGCAGCCAUGCCGCGUGUAGGAAGAAGGCGCUACGCGUUGUAAACUGCUUUUAACCGGGAAGAAACCCCAGGACGUGUCCUGGGUUGACGGUACCGGAGGAAUAAGCACCGGCUAACUUCGUGCCAGCAGCCGCGGUAAUACGAAGGGUGCAAGCGUUAUCCGGAUUCAUUGGGUUUAAAGGGUGCGUAGGCGGAGCGUUAAGUCAGUGGUGAAAUCCUGCAGCUUAACUGUAGACUUGCCAUUGAUACUGGCGCUCUUGAGUGCGCUUGAAGUGGGCGGAAUGUGCCGUGUAGCGGUGAAAUGCUUAGAUAUGGCACAGAACACCAAUUGCGAAGGCAGCUCACUAAGGCGAUACUGACGCUGAGGCACGAAAGCGUGGGGAUCGAACAGGAUUAGAAACCCUUGUAGUCC
rnacentral:rRNA from 1 species